CUAUCCUGGCCGUGCAGAAGCGGCCAAGGGUGUGGGUGUUCACCAAUUAAAAGGGAUCGUGAGCUGGGUUCAGAACGUUGUGAGACAGUUUGUUUGAUAUCUACUGGAGAUGUCAGAUGUCUGAAGGGAAGGGCCCUUUAGUACGAGAGGAACGAGGGCUCGAGGCCUCUGGUUUACCUGUUGUCUGAUAAGGCAGGCAGGGCAGCUACGCCUCAAGCGAUAAGAGCUGAAAGCAUCUAAGCUCGAAACGUACCUUGAAAAGAGACAUCAUAGAACGCCCAUAGAAGAUGGGUUUGAUGGAACUGGCGUGUAAGCAUCAAGCUUCGGCGAGAUGUUCAGCGCGCAGUCCCCAAUAGUUCGUCCUUUGACUUUA
rnacentral:rRNA from 1 species